UGUAGGAGGCCACACCGCCACAGGUGAUGGGUUUAGGGUGGAGGGAACAUUAUAAAGACCCCACGUGGACCACUAUGGCUACACUCACUGCUAAACUCAGCUACUGUCAGCUACGCAAGAUAAGAGGAACCCUGAACAUGGCUAUGGUACAUGAUCUCAAAGGCUUAAGGAGGCUCAGCAGACAGACACAAACAGACGUGGAUCACCAAUAUGAGGAUGCCAUCAGGGCGCUAAAUAACCUACAGUCCAAUGCCGCCACCCUUCAACUUAUCCGCCAAGACCGAGAGAGUUUCAGUUCACAGAAUUUGCCCACCACAGAACGUUACUUAAAGAGAGUUGGGGUAUCACUGGAUGACCUUGAUAAGUUGUCAGUCAUUCAUGUAACAGGAACCAAAGGCAAAGGCUCAACGUGUGCCUUCAUCGAGAGCAUCUUGAGGGAACAUGGCUAUCGGACAGGCUUCUUCUCCUCUCCUCAUCUUGUCGCUGUUCGUGAAAGGAUACGCAUCAAUGGGCAACCCAUACUUAAGGAGAACUUCAUGAAGCAUUUUUGGGAUGUUUAUAAUCAACUUGCUGCUCAGAAAGAAAAUGAAGACGACAUGCCCCCGUACUUCAAAUUUCUGACUGUUCUUGCUUUGAAAGUUUUCCUGCGUGAGGAAGUGGAUGUCGCAGUGCUGGAGGUGGGCAUCGGGGGAGAGUACGACAGUACUAAUGUUGUCCGGAAGCCCGUGGUAUGUGGCGUGACGACCCUAGAUAUAGACCACACGUCAGUCUUGGGCAAAACCAUCGAGUCAAUUGCCUGGCAUAAAGCAGGUAUCAUGAAGCCUGGGGUGCCUACUUUUACCUUGAACCAGCAGUUGAUCUCCUCCAUGCCCGUGUUGAUUGAGAGGGCCAAGGAGAAGAAGUGUGAAUUGUAUGAGGUGCCUCCCCUUGAGAGCUAUGGCUGGGGCACUCGACCAUUACAGUUGGGUCUGGCUGGAAACGUGCAGUACAAGAACGCCUCGCUUGCUCUACAGCUCUCGCAGUAUUGGAUCAAUGCUCAGAGUAAAGGAGGAAGUAACAAAGUGAAAUGCGUCGGCACCCCACACCUGGAUCACGCAGGGCUUCAGGUGGCUGCUCCCUUUACUCUUGCUGAUGAGGAAGUGUGUGGCCUUAAGUCUGUUGUCUGGCCAGGGAGAUCACAGGUGAUGUCUUAUGAUCCUUUGAAAUUUUUCAUUGAUGGAGCCCACACUUUUGCCAGCAUGCAGGCAUGUGUUGAUUGGUUCACCAAGGCUCUACCUCUUCACACCCCGCAUGACGGAGGGAAGACUUACCGUGUGCUCAUGUUCAACUCCACUGGUGAUCGUGAUCCUACGAUGUUACUCCAGUGUCUGGCCUCUUGCAACUUCGACUUGACUGUGUUCACAACCAACCUCGUGACUACCUCAAUGAGUGCCUCCUCUGAUCAAACAAACUACACAAUCUCCCCCGACGAGAUGCACUUGAGGUGUGUACGUCAGAGGAACACCUGGAUCAAACUGGUGAGGAAGCUUAAGAACUGGGAGGCUUACCAGGAAUGUGUCCCUCAGGAGAACACCACUAGGGCAUACAAUCCUCAGGGGGGUCAGAGUGAUCCUCCCAGUGCUCAUGAAGAUAAUCUGAAUCUAACGACUAGCUUACCGGCAACGGACGUUCCGAGCAUAAUAUUUCCGUGUAUCCGCGACGCUCUGCUGUGGUUGUCGUGUGGGCGUAAUCAGAGUCUCAGAGGAGAGAUAUCAGUGCCACCUGCUAUUCCCCCUCCCCCACAGCUACAAGAAGCUACACAGAUACAGGUGUUAGUGACAGGUUCACUCCAUCUAGUAGGAGGGGUGUUGGGGCUGAUAGAUCCUGGGUUGUCGUGUGCCACACACACCCGCACUUCUUGCAGCAAGCCGCCGUCGCUCACAGACCUUGUCCUCAACAACUACGCCCAGUGUUCCUCACCCGGCACCCCUUGACAACCUUAACACCUGACAAAAUAAUCCUGCAUUUGCUCAGCUGGACCUUCAAACAGUGUUGUCCCAGUACCAUGAUGAGCAGGAAUAAUCUAAGUUACAUUGCAUGAGCGCCAAGGAAAGGUUUCUACGGGCAUCAGAUACAGAGACAGAAGAGGUGCAGUGGGUCAGGAAAUCUAUACUUUAAGGAGCCCCCAAGAUCCUCCACACUGAAGGGAACAACACUGUUGGUUUGUUAUGGGCCGUGUAUGGUUUGGUUCCCCCUUUCUAUAUACUGUAAAGUACUAGAUCAACUCUCCUUCCCUACAUGUUAUUUUCUCAAAGUAAAAAUGUGGUCCCUACAUUAAUAAAUCCUUUUACAGAACUUAUUUCCUAAAGAACUCUAGUAGAUACAUCAAUAAUAAUUACAUUUCAACAAGAUGGCCAAGACAUUGAAGGAGGAUUAUGAUGGCAUCUUUGAAAGAUUAUUAUCCAGUAAAAUAAUUCACGUGCUUACCUUUGGGUGAGCGGAAGAGCUUGAAACUAUCCGUGUGUUCAUGGCCAUAUAUCUGGGCCAUAAUCACUGUACCAAACUCGUUGAGAAGGUCAACAUAGGCCUCAUUGUAUGUAUCAUUAAAAUAUGGUAUUAUU